rnacentral:rRNA from 1 species
AGGAAUAUUGGUCAAUGGACGCAAGUCUGAACCAGCCAUGCCGCGUGCAGGAUGACGGCUCUAUGAGUUGUAAACUGCUUUUGUACGAGGGUAAACCCGGAUACGUGUAUCCGGCUGAAAGUAUCGUACGAAUAAGGAUCGGCUAACUCCGUGCCAGCAGCCGCGGUAAUACGGAGGAUUCAAGCGUUAUCCGGAUUUAUUGGGUUUAAAGGGUGCGUAGGCGGUUUGAUAAGUUAGAGGUGAAAUACCGGUGCUUAACACCGGAACUGCCUCUAAUACUGUUGAGCUAGAGAGUAGUUGCGGUAGGCGGAAUGUAUGGUGUAGCGGUGAAAUGCUUAGAGAUCAUACAGAACACCGAUUGCGAAGGCAGCUUACCAAACUAUAUCUGACGUUGAGGCACGAAAGCGUGGGGAGCAAACAGGAUUAGAUACCCUGGUAGUCCACGCAGUAAACGAUGAUAACUCGCUGUCGGCGAUACACAGUCGGUGGCUAAGCGAAAGCGAUAAGUUAUCCACCUGGGGAGUACGUUCGCAAGAAUGAAACUCAAAGGAAUUGACGGGGGCCCGCACAAGCGGAGGAACAUGUGGUUUAAUUCGAUGAUACGCGAGGAACCUUACCCGGGCUUGAAAGUUACUGACGAUUCUGGAAACAGGAUUUCCCUUCGGGGCAGGAAACUAGGUGCUGCAUGGUUGUCGUCAGCUCGUGCCGUGAGGUGUCGGGUUAAGUCCCAUAACGAGCGCAACCCCUACCGUUAGUUGCCAUCAGGUCAAGCUGGGCACUCUGGCGGGACUGCCGGUGUAAGCCGAGAGGAAGGUGGGGAUGACGUCAAAUCAGCACGGCCCUUACGUCCGGGGCUACACACGUGUUACAAUGGUAGGUACAGAGGGCAGCUACCCAGUGAUGGGAUGCGAAUCUCGAAAGCCUAUCUCAGUUCGGAUUGGAGGCUGAAACCCGCCUCCAUGAAGUUGGAUUCGCUAGUAAUCGCGCAUCAGCCAUGGCGCGGUGAAUACGUUCCCG